rnacentral:rRNA from 3 species
AUCCACACGACUCUCGGCAACGGAUAUCUCGGCUCUCGCAUCGAUGAAGAACGUAGCGAAAUGCGAUACCUGGUGUGAAUUGCAGAAUCCCGCGAACCAUCGAGUCUUUGAACGCAAGUUGCGCCCGAGGCCUUUUGGCCGAGGGCACGCCUGCCUGGGCGUC